GUUUUAAAAUUUGAAGACAUCUUUUGGUUUAUUUAAUUCAAAUCUUUAUUUUGCAGAUGAGGAAACAGCAACCCAGAGAGGAGAAGUAACCCACACUGGAUCAUUUCGUGAAGGAGCAAGGCUGAAGACCCAGACCUGCACUUUCUUAGAAUCACCAUGAUGGCUGAGAUCCUGUACACAUAUCCUGAAAACUGGAGGGCCUCAUCACUGCUUAGUACA
rnacentral:lncRNA from 1 species